rnacentral:rRNA from 1 species
GUCCAGACUCCUACGGGAGGCAGCAGUGGGGAAUAUUGGGCAAUGGGCGCAAGCCUGACCCAGCAACGCCGCGUGAAGGAAGAAGGCUUUCGGGUUGUAAACUUCUUUUAUCAGGGACGAAGCAAGUGACGGUACCUGAUGAAUAAGCCACGGCUAACUACGUGCCAGCAGCCGCGGUAAUACGUAGGUGGCAAGCGUUAUCCGGAUUUACUGGGUGUAAAGGGCGUGUAGGCGGGAGUGCAAGUCAGAUGUGAAAACUAUGGGCUCAACCCAUAGCCUGCAUUUGAAACUGUACUUCUUGAGUGCUGGAGAGGCAAUCGGAAUUCCGUGUGUAGCGGUGAAAUGCGUAGAUAUACGGAGGAACACCAGUGGCGAAGGCGACUAUCUGGCACAUAACUGACGCUGAGGAGCGAAAGCGUGGGUAGCAAACAGGAUUAGAUACCCUUGUAC